rnacentral:rRNA from 1 species
AUUGAACGCUGGCGGCAGGCCUAACACAUGCAAGUCGAGCGGAGCGGCGGUCGGGUGAGUAAUGCCUAGGAAUCUGCCUGGUAGUGGGGGAUAACGUCCGGAAACGGGCGCUAAUACCGAAUACUAUCAGACGAGCCUAGAUGGGAUUAGCUAGUAGGUGGGUUAAAGGCUCACCUAGGAGACGAUCCCUAGCUGGUCUGAGAGGAUGACCAGCCACACUGGGACUGAGACACGGUCCAGACUCCUACGGGAGGCAGCAGUGGGGAAUAUUGCACAAUGGGCGCAAGCCUGAUGCAGCCAUGCCGCGUGUAUGAAGAAGGCCUUAGGGUUGUAAAGUACUUUCAGCGGGGAGGCGUUACCCACAGAAGAAGCACCGGCUAACUCCGUGCCAGCAGCCGCGGUAAUAC